rnacentral:rRNA from 1 species
UGCCAGCAGCCGCGGUAAUACGGAGGGUGCAAGCGUUAAUCGGAAUUACUGGGCGUAAAGCGCAUGCAGGCGGUUUGUUAAGCGAGAUGUGAAAGCCCCGGGCUCAACCUGGGAACUGCAUUUCGAACUGGCAAACUAGAGUUCUUGAGAGGGUGGUAGAAUUUCAGGUGUAGCGGUGAAAUGCGUAGAGAUCUGAAGGAAUACCAGUGGCGAAGGCGGCCACCUGGCAAGUAACUGACGCUCAGAUGCGAAAGCGUGGGUAGCAAACGGGAUUAGAUA